rnacentral:rRNA from 1 species
CAGCAGCCGCGGGAAUACGUAGGGUGCGAGCGUUAAUCGGAAUUACUGGGCGUAAAGCGUGCGCAGGCGGUUAUAUAAGACAGAUGUGAAAUCCCCGGGCCCAACCUGGGACCUGCACUUGUGACUGUAUAGCUAGAGUACGGUAGAGGGGGAUGGAAUUCCGCGUGUAGCAGUGAAAUGCGUAGAUAUGCGGAGGAAUACCGAUGGCGAAGGCAAUCCCCUGGACCUGUACUGACGCUCAUGCACGAAAGCGUGGGGAGCAAACAGGAUUAGAUACCCGUGUAGUCCCUGUCUCUUAUAC